AUUGAACGCUGGCGGCAGGCCUAACACAUGCAAGUCGAGCGGAUGAAGGGAGCUUGCUCCUGGAUUCAGCGGCGGACGGGUGAGUAAUGCCUAGGAAUCUGCCUGGUAGUGGGGGAUAACGUCCGGACACGGGCGCUAAUACCGCAUACGUCCUGAGGGCGAAAGUGUGGGAUCUUCGGACCUCACGCUAUCAGAUGAGCCUAGGUCGGAUUAGCUAGUUGGUGGGGUAAAGGCCUACCAAGGCGACGAUCCGUAACUGGUCUGAGAGGAUGAUCAGUCACACUGGAACUGAGACACGGUCCAGACUCCUACGGGAGGCAGCAGUGGGGAAUAUUGGACAAUGGGCGAAAGCCUGAUCCAGCCAUGCCGCGUGUGUGAAGAAGGUCUUCGGAUUGUAAAGCACUUUAAGUUGGGAGGAAGGGCAGUAAGUUAAUACCUUGCUGUUUUGACGUUACCAACAGAAUAAGCACCGGCUAACUUCGUG
rnacentral:rRNA from 1 species